AUUUGUUCUCUGGCUGAACGUGCUGGGUGGUCAGGGAAGCCUCACAGAUGCCACCCUGCGUGGACACCGGAGUGGAGAGCUGGGGCCACAGGGCCAGGCACGGGAACCUCAGACGCAAAGGCCCUGAGACCAGACCAAACUUGGCGUUAAAGAAACUGAAAGAAAACUCAGGGAGCGCAUAGAUAUCUCAUCACGCAGUAAACUUCCAAGCACUGUAUACACAUGCGGGAAGGCUGUUUCUGUGCCUGGUUCUUCGAUUGCAACUGAUUUACUUUUGACGACCGAGCCCCUGGCAAGCAGUUUCCGCAGAGCCGAAGCCCUGUGGCUUCCCCGAAGGCGAAGAGACCCACAAACCGAGUCUCGUGCCGGGCUGGCCCGUCACUUCCUGAAGCCGGCACCCUCUGGCGGGCUGGCGGCGGGGCGAGCAGCUCGGGACACGCAUUUCGGAGCCCGGAGCCCGGAGCCCGGAAGGACCAGGCGCGCACGGGGCGGGCGGCGCGGCGUCAGGACCAGUCGGGACCCGCGCGGGGGGAGGGAGGGAGGAAGGGAAGGAGGGGCGGGGCCGGGGCAGCCGGGCAGCCUUCGCCGUCGCCUUCGCCGCCACCUUCAGCAGAGGGAGGAACACUCCCAAACUCAUUCUAUGAGGCCACCAUCACCCUGAUACCAGAACCAGACAAAGAUGUCACAAAGAAAGAAAACUACAGGCCAAUAUCACUGAUGAACAUAGAUGCAAAAAUCCUCAACAAAAUACUAGCAAACAGAAUCCAACAGCACAUUAAAAGGAUCAUACACCAUGAUCAAGUGGGGUUUAUUCCAGGAAUGCAAGGAUUCUUCAAUAUACGCAAAUCAAUCAACGUGAUACAUAACGAAUUGAAGGAGAAAAACCAUAUGAUCAUCUCAAUAGAUGCAGAGAAAGCUUUCAACAAAAUUCAACACCCAUUUAUGAUAAAAACCCUGCAGAAAGUAGGCAUAGAGGGAACUUUCCUCAACAUAAUAAAGGCCAUAUAUGACAGACCCACAGCCAACAUCGUCCUCAAUGGUGAAAAACUGAAACCAUUUCCACUAAGAUCAGGAAGAAGACAAGGUUGUCCACUCUCAGCAGUAUUAUUCAACAUAGUUUUGGAAGUUUUAGCCACAGCAAUCAGAGAAGAAAAAGAAAUAAAAGGAAUCCAAAUCGGAAAAGAAGAAGUAAAGCUGUCACUGUUUGCAGAUGACAUGAUACUAUACAUAGGGAAUCCUAAAGAUGCUACCAGAAAACUACUAGAGCUAAUCAAUGAAUUUGGUAGAGUAGCGGGAUACAAAAUUAAUGCACAGAAAUCUCUUGCAUUCCUAUACAUUAAUGAUGAAAAAUCUGAAAGUGAAAUUAAGAAAACACUCCCAUUUACCAUUGCAACAAAAAGAAUAAAAUAUCUAGGAAUAAACCUACCUAAGGAGACAAAAGACCUGUAUGCAGAAAAUUAUAAGACACUGAUGAGGGUUUCCCUGGUGGCACAGUGAUUGGGAGUCCGCCUGCCGAUGCAGGGGACGCGGGUUCGUGCCCUGGUCCGGGAGGAUCCCACAUGCCGCAGAGCAGCUGGGCCCGUGAGCCAUGGCCGCUGAGCCUGCACAUCCGGAGCCUGUGCUCCGCAAUGGGAGAGGCCACAGCGGUGAGAGGCCCGCGUACCAAAAAAAAAAAAAAAAGACACUGAUGAAAGAAAUUAAAGAUGAUACAAAUAGAUGGAGAAAUAUACCGUGUUCUUGGAUUGGAAGAAUCAACAUUGUGAAAAUGACUCUACUACCCAAAGCAAUCUACAGCUUCAAUGCAAUCCCUAUCAAACUGCCACUGGCAUUUUUCACGGAACUAGAACAUUUCAACUUUUAGAACCCUUGCCAUCACAUGUACUACAUCAGACAGAUGUGGCUAACUUUGCAGCUUCCUGAGUCAUCUUGAACAAGCUAAGUGACCUGUGCCUCAUCUGUAAAAUACCUGUCCCCAAGGUUGUCAUGGGGGUGAAAGCAGCCAAAGCCACAAACAGCCCUGUGUAGAGCUGCCACUCUGGGAGCCUUUUCAGUUUUUAAGCCCAAGGCCUGGGAGUGGUUGGAUGGGCACAGUUGACCGCAUAGGUUGCCAUAGCUCAGCAUGUACCAGCAUGAGCACUGUUUAGACGCUGGAGGUACAAGCGGUCAACAAGACAAGUGUUGGCCUGGUUGGGGUGACGGGGAGGUGCAUCAGGGUCACAGCCUGGAGAAUUUCUCACGAGCCUGAAACCAUCUCUCCCUGCACUGGUACCACCAGGCUACAAGUGGCUGGAUCAGGCUCCUGGGCCCACACAUGUGGGACCUGAAAAAUGUCAUUAGGUGCUUUAUCAUCACUCUGUCCUUUAUGACCUGAGGGUUUUGUAAAUAUUGCCGUACGUUUUAAACUGGGGCUACAGAUGAAACAGGGGCCUCGAUGCCACGUGUUACAACGGGCAGAAGGGGACUGGGGAGAGGAUAUUAUCCACUUGCCACUCAGCCGCCCUCCACUUGGCAGCCAGACCCAUCUUUGGUACCGCCAUCCACUCAGAAUCCUUCUGUGGCUUCCCACUUUCUUAGCAUAAAGAACAAAACCCUUAACACGGCCCAUAAGGCCCUGCAGUCUGGGCCCCACCUACACCUGGCCUCCUCCUCCAGCUGCAUCUCUGAUCACUUUAUCAGCAGCCCUCUGUGCUCAGGCAUGCUGCUCCCUCCAGCCUCAGGACCUUUGCACGUGCUCUUCUAGACCGUUCCUCCUCCCUCAUCUCCCUAUUCCCAGGUUAACACCUGCUCAUCCAUCAGAUCUGAGCCCAACCUAGACUUGCAUUCCAAGUUCCUCAGGCCACAGGACAUCCCCAGGUGUGUGGGAGGUUUAGCUCAAGGUGGAAUUAUACACUAUAUAUUGCUGGGAUUAAUUUCAGCCUGUACCCUGUCACCCACCCAACCCCCGCCCCCACACACACACACCUUGCAACUGUAACCCUCAUGACUUCCAGGACUGGUCUCAGUUUGCUCAUAGGUGCUCAGUAAUGAAGUCUACCUUUGGGAGUAGCUCUUGAGCAAAUAUUGGGACCUUGCUUUGUAUAAAACCGUAUUGUCCUUCAUCAAAAAAAAAAAAAUGCUGAAGUCACUUCUUAGUUUUGGGGGUAGGUGUUCAUUCAUUCAUCCUUUCACUUACUCUGCCAGGCACUGUUCUAGGAGCCAUCAGGGAAUGUGCCACAAAAGCCACUGCCCUCAAGGAGCUUUCUCUAGUGGGGCCACAAACAAAUAAACCUGUAACCCGUUGUCAGGUGGUAGCAAAUUUGAUAAACAAAAGUCACGCAGGGUCUGAUGGGAGCAGGCAGUGGUGGCACCUGCUGUCUUAGACCUGGAUGAAUAAGGAGGGAACUCUGCUGGGGAGGUGGGGAAGCACAGAUGUUCUGAGUGGCAUCCACUCCCACCCUGAGCCUCCUUGUCGGGGAAACAGGCACAGGGGCAACCAGCCUUUAUACCUGAGAGGAGGUGAGGCAGCCCAGAGAAAGCCUGGUGGGAUGUUGGGGGUGGCUUCAGAGGUGGCAGGCUGGACAAAUCCAGGAAGCCUCGUGGCAGUUCCUGAGACCCUUUAGUAAAGUGGAGAAGAACUUGGGUUUGAAGUCACACAUGCCUGUGCAGGGUAUGUCCUACCUGGUCCUGCCUUUUGCCAGCUAUGUGGCCCUCACCUCUGUGAGCCUCAGUUUUCUCGUCUGUAAGAUGGGGACAGUGUUAAUCUCUUCCUUGUAAGGUUGUUGUGAGGCUGAAAUGGGAUCAGGAUGCUUUUGAAGAAGGGCACCAUUUGGACAUGAGGACCCACAUCAAGAAAAAAACAGCAUGAGGUGAGGCCCUAGAUGAGAAACCCAGCAUGGGCUGGAAGCAGCAGAUGGUUCAGUUUGGGGCAAGGCUGGCUGGAAGAAGGGAAGUGGAAGAAAACAAAGUUGAAAAGUAGGGUUGUUACUGAGCCAAGCUCAGCUCCGCUCACCCACAUGUAGUAAAGCCAAUCUACUGACACUGGGUUGUGGUGAAGGAAAGCUCAGCGUUUAUUGUAAGGCUCCAGACAAGGAGUCUGGGGAAGUCAAUGCUCAGAAAAAGCCAAACUCCCCGUUGGGUUUCAGGGAAACUUUUUUUUUUUUUUGAUAUAUAGUUGAUUUACAAUGUUGUUAGUUUCUGGUGUAUUGCAAAGUGAUUCAGUUAUACAUAUGUGUGUAUAUAUAUAUAUAUAUAUAUAUAUAUAUAUAUACACACACACAUAUUCUUUUUCAUAUUCUUUUCCAUUAUGGUUUAUUACAGGAUAUUGAAUAUAGUUCCCUGUUAUAGUAGUACCUUGUUGUCUAUCUAUUUUAUAUAUAGUAGUUUGUAUCUGCUAAUCCCAAACACCUAAUUUAUCCCUCUCCCAUGCCCAUUCCCCUUUGGUAACCAUAAGUUUGCUUUCUAUGUCUGUGAGUCUGUUUCUGUGUCGUAAAUAAGUUCAUUUUAAUCAUAUUUUAGAUUCCAUGUAUACGUGAUACCACGUGGUAUUUGGCUUUCUCUGUCUGACUUACUUCACUUAGUAUGAUAAUCUCUAGGCUAUCCAUGUUGCUGCAAAUGGCAUUAUUUCAUUUUUUAUGCUGAGUAGUAUUCCGUUGUGUAGAUAUAUCACAUCUUCUUGAUCCAUUCAUCUGUCGAUGGACGUUUAGGUUGCUUCUAUGUCUUGGCUAUUGUAAAUAGUGCUGCUGUGAACAUUGGGGUGCAUGUGUCUUUUUUAAUUAUACUUUUCUCCAGAUAUAUGCCCAUGAGUGAGUUUGCUGGAGCAUAUGGCUACUCUGUUUUUAGGUGUUUUGUGGUUUUUUUGUGGCCACACCAUGCAGCAUGUGGGAUCUUAGUUCCCUGACCAGGGAUCAAACCCACACCCCCUACAGUGGGAGCGUGUAGUCUUAACCACUGGACCACCGGAGAGUCCUAUUUUUAGUUUUUUAAGGAACCUCCAUGCUCUUUUCCGUAGUGGCUGCAUCAAUUUACGGAGGAGGAUUUUUGAAGGCAAGAUGAGGAAGGGGAGUCACGGGGUGUGUAAUCAGCUCGUGCACGGUUCUCUGAUUGGUUGAUGGUGAGGUAACGGUGUCACAGGUGUUAACGUUAUCAAUCCUCAGGCUCCAGUGGGUCUGGGGGGCUACAUGCUCAUGGUCAUCAAGUAGUUAACUUCUUGCAUUUGGUGGGGGUUUUAGCAUCUGUAACACAACUCAGGAAAUGUGCAUCAGAUUCUGUUAUCUAGGUACCUCAGAGAGGAGCUAAAGAUUCUAUGACUGCCGUAUGGCUGAUUUACUGUUCAAAUUAUUACCCGUUCUCCUGGCACAACUACUUCGUUUGUCACUACACAAUCCUUUCAAUCAUUAAUUCUUGAGCCAGGCUUUUGUGACUCAGAGGAGGCCUGGGAGACUACCGCUUUUCCAUAAACAAGAGGCAGGCAGAGGACACGGGGGAAGGCGUCUGUCGCAGGAAAGCCCCACGGGGUCCUGCUCGGUUCAGGGUGUUAACCUGUGGACAGAUGGAGCUAGUGAGAUUCUAAUUCGGAGGUUCUCAAAUUGUGUUUGAAAUCUUUGGGGCCACCUCAGUGUAUAAACUAGACCAAAGAGGAGCCGUGUAGCAUCGUAGUUAAGAUGGCUGCCCUUGGGCUAAGACCCAGGGACAAGUUUAAAUCCCACAUCACUUAUCCAGUGACCUUGACGUUCAUUUCUCAGGGCCUCUUUCUCCAUCUGUAAAACAGAGAUAAUAGCACCUACCUGGUAGGAUUAUUGGGAGGAAAUGAGAUGAUGCAUGGAAAGGGGUGGCAUUUACUAACAUUGGCCAAGUAUUGACUGGUACGAUUUUUUUAAUUAAAAAAAUUUUUAAUGGUGAUGAAAUAGACACAACAUAAAAUUUGCCAUCUUAACCAUUUUGAAGUGUGCAAUUCAGAAGUGUUAGGUAUAAUCACAUUGUUUUGCAGUCGAUCUCCAGACCAUUUCAACUUGCAAAUCUGAAACUCUGUACCCACUAAACAACAACUUCCCAUUCCCCCUCCCCCAGCCCCUGGCAGCCCCCACUUUACUUUCUGUCUCUAUGAUGUUGCUUACUCUGAGUACCUCAUAUAAGUGGAGUCAUACCGUAUUUGUCUUUCUGGGACUGGUUGAUUUCACUUAGCAUAAUGUCCUCAAGGUUCAGCCAUGUUGCAGUGUGUUAGAAUUUCCUUCCUUUUUUAAGGCUGAAUAAUGUUCCAUUGUAUGUAUAUAACAUUUUGUUUAUCCAGUCAUCCAUGGAUGGACACUUGGGUUGCCUCCACCUUUUAGCUAUUAUGAAUAAUGCCGCUAUGAAUAUGGGUAUACAGAUAUCUUUUUGAGACCCUGCUUUCAGUGCUUUUGGGUGUGUAGCCAAAAGUGGCAUUGCUGGGGCAUUCACUGUUGAAAUUUGGAGUUGGGCAUGGAUGGCUCCCCACUGUCUCUCCUCUUGUCCAUCAGAGUAAGAGAGGUCCCUGGGACCUUGUGGAGCAGUUUGAAAACCAGUAGGUCAAAUGAACCAUUAGAGAUUUUGCCAUUUCUCCCCCUUCCUUCCCAGGAAGACUUCCCUCUUGAAUUGUUUUUUAAUUAUCCCUAGUGGAAACCACCCUUCAUUCAGCAAAUAUUUAUGAGUGCCUGCUAUGCUUCCACGUGGGCAGAGGGAGAGAUAAACAAUAAGCAAUAAACAUAAACAAGGAAAGGAUAUAGUGUGUCAGACAGUGAUGCGUGCUCUGGACCAAGCAGAGGAGCCAGUUAAAAGCGAUUGGGAUGAGAGGCUGGGGGCAGCAUGGCUUCCCUGAGCUGUGAGAUUUGAGCAAAGACUGGAAGGAGAUAAGGGAGUUGGUCAUGUGGUUAUCGGGGGAAGAGCACUUCCGGCAGAGGGAACAGCCAGUGCAAAGGCCUUGAGGUGGGAGCAUGCAUGGUGGGAUCCAGGAGCAGCAAGGAGGAUGGUGUGUCUGGAGCAGAAUGAGUGGAGGGGAGGGGAGGGGAGGAGAAGGGUGCGCUACAUAUGGCCCGGGUGCCUUGAUGGUGACUGUGGGUGAGAAGGGAGUCACUGAAGGUUUGGAGCAGGGAAGGCACAUGAUCUGAUUCUAGUUUGAGGUGGAACUUUCUGGAUGCUGUGGGGUGGAUAGCUAGGGGUGAGGGCAGAAAGAGGCGGGAGACUGGUGAGGAGGCUCCUGCCAGAGAGAUGAUGGCAGCUUGUACGAGGAUGGGAGUCAGGGAGGAAGGGUGCAAUGAUAAAUGUGGACAAAACGUCCUGCAGCCUGGGCAUCCACCCCGAUAGCACACUGUUACCCUCCCUGCGCCAGCACCCCGCCCUUCCUCCAGGCCGCUGAAGUGAGGUUGGGAUGGGAACUUGCCCUCCAUGCCAACAUCCCUUUUUUUUCUUUUGGUCUGUAGUGGGAUUGUCCAAAACCCUCUGGGUUCUUCUAUGUUGGAACUGUUGCCAUGGAAACCUCCCGAGUUGCUGCGGUUACCACUGACCUCCAGUUUAACUUCCAGAUAGAGGUAUAGAACGAAUGGGUUUGUCUCCUAAAAUGCUGAGAGUGGGGAGUCAAUUGGGCCUGCGUAGAAUCUCCACUUCUAGGACCAUGUCAAGAUUGUCUUACUCUGUGUGUGUGUGUGUGUGUGUGUGUUUUAACUUUGGACUACAAUCUUCAGAGUUUCUGGCUUAAGAACAGUGCUGUAGCUGUAUUUGUUAUAAAGGAUUUCUUCAGCCAGAUGUUCUUCCUUCUCCUUCUUGGCUCCAGAAUAAUUAGUCCUCAGCCUUCCUGUGACACGGUAGCUAUCUCUCUGGUAAUGAUUAUCUCACUGUACUGCAGACUCAUUAAAAAAUGCAGCCGUGGCCAGUUAACUCAGAAAAAGAGGAAGAGAGAGAGAAAAAGAACGUCACCCCCGACCCCCACUGGGCUCCCCCCCACCCCACAACACACACACACACACACACACACACACACACA